CUACACCUUCACCUUCCUCUCCUUUCAACGAAAUAGCAGAAAACAAACAAACAUGAAGAGAAUCUCCAUUUGUUCUGUGCUCCUGCUCGUUCUCUUCCUGAUUGCUGGUAAUGGAAGCAUGAUGGCACGGGGGUCGCGCACAAUGGAGCCGGGGCGGGUCUUCUGCGAUAAGGAGUAUCUCACCACUCCAGGGGCAUGCACCAAUCAGAAGUGUUUGGCCGAGUGUAGGACCGCGUACGGCAGUUCGGCUAGUGGAUUUUGUAAGUCGGAGAAAGGCCCGAACGAUGUCUGCGACUGUCAUUACCCUUGCUAGUCCUAGAGCCGUCCCAUAACCGCCCAAUAAGCGGCAUAUUAUGUGCUGCAUAUGCUUUGCAGUUGUUGAAUCCCAACAUCUUAUGUACCUACUGACUACUAUUUAGCCGAUAUGCUCACAAAUAACAAUCUGAAAUAGGGUUUGCGCCGAUUUCAUCUACAA